ACGAACGCUGGCGGCGCGCUUAACACAUGCAAGUCGAACGGCAACAGAUCCUUCGGGAUGCUGGCGAGUGGCGAGCGGGUGAGUAACGCGUGGAUACCUGUCCUAUGGUGGGGAAUAACGUUUAGAAAUGAACGCUAAUACCGCAUAAGCCCUUCGGGGGAAAGAUUUAUUGCCAUAGGAGGGGUCUGCGUCGGAUUAGCUAGUUGGUGGGGUAAAGGCCUACCAAGGCGACGAUCCGUAGCUGGUCUGAGAGGAUGAUCAGCCACACUGGGACUGGGACACGGCCCAGACUCCUACGGGAGGCAGCAGUGGGGAAUAUUGCGCAAUGGGGGAAACCCUGACGCAGCGACGCCGCGUGGGUGAAGAAGGCCUUAGGGUUGUAAAGCCCUUUCAGUGGGAAAGAUAAUGACGGUACCCACAGAAGAAGCUCCGGCUAACUCCGU
rnacentral:rRNA from 1 species